CACCGUCUCCACCAAGGUGGCCUCGAUGGCAUUCCAGACACAGGCCGGCGCCCAGAUCCCCAUCGAGCGGCUGGCCUCAGAGCGCGCCAUCACCGUGAAGGCCGCUACCUGUCUGAGGAACCCGAGCCCUACCUGGCAGUCUACCUGCACUCGGAGCCCCGGCCCAAUGAGCACAACUGCUCGGCUAGCAGGAGGAUCCGCCCAGAGUCACUCCAGGGUGCCGACCACCGGCCCUACACCUUCUUCAUUUCCCCGGGGAGCAGAGACCCAGCGGGGAGUUACCAUCUGAACCUCUCCAGCCACUUCCGCUGGUCAGUGCUGGAGGUGUCCGUGGGCCUGUACACGUCCCUGUGUCAGUACUUCAGCGAGGAGGACAUGGUGUGGAGGACAGAGGGGCUGCUGCCCCUGGAGGAGACCUCGCCCCGCCAGGCCGUCUGCCUCACCCGCCACCUCACCGCCUUCGGCGCCAGCCUCUUCGUGCCCCCAAGCCAUGUCCGCUUUGUCUUUCCGG
rnacentral:sRNA from 1 species